rnacentral:rRNA from 1 species
UACGUAGGGUGCGAGCGUUGUCCGGAAUUAUUGGGCGUAAAGAGCUUGUAGGCGGUUUGUCGCGUCUGCUGUGAAAAUCCGGGGCUCAACCCCGGACUUGCAGUGGGUACGGGCAGACUAGAGUGUGGUAGGGGAGACUGGAAUUCCUGGUGUAGCGGUGGAAUGCGUAGAUAUCUGGAGGAACACCGGUGGCGAAGGCGGCAUCCUGGACCGGCAUUGACGCUGAGGAGCGAAAGCCAGGGGAGCAAACGGG